GCGCCUGCGCACAGCAGCCGCGGUUGCCCGGCGGCGGCGCCCGUUCAGAAUGUCGAGCGCGCGGGGGGGCGGGGGAGCGGCCCCUCCCUCCGGCGGACGCGAGGCAGCGGCGGCGGCAGCUGCUGCUGCGGAAGGGAAGGAGGCGGCGCCUGUGUCGGCGCUGGAGGUUGUGUCCUUCCUGGGGAAACUGCUGUGCGCAGUCGCGGCACUGAAGGCGGCUCUCUACCUGCUCCGCAGAGUCUGUCUAGCUAUGGCCUGGAAGUCAGGAGGCGCCAGUCACUCCGAGCUCAUCCACAACCUCCGCAAAAAUGGAAUAAUCAAGUCAGAUAAAGUAUUUGAAGUAAUGCUUGCAACAGACCGCUGCCAUUAUGCAAAAUGCAACCCAUAUAUGGAUUCUCCUCAAUCAAUAGGAUUUCAAGCAACAAUCAGUGCUCCACACAUGCAUGCAUAUGCUCUAGAACUCCUAUAUGAACAGUUACACGAAGGAGCCAAAGCCCUUGAUGUAGGAUCUGGAAGUGGAAUUCUUUCUGCAUGCUUUGCACGAAUGGUUGGUCCCAAAGGACAAGUUGUAGGAAUUGAUCAUAUCAAAGAGUUGGUAGAUGACUCAAUAAAUAAUGUUAAAAAGGACGAUCCCCUAUUGUUAUCUUCAGGAAGAGUGAAACUGAUUGUGGGAGAUGGAAGGUUGGGAUAUUCUGAAGAAGCUCCAUAUGAUGCUAUUCAUGUAGGAGCUGCUGCACCAGUUGUUCCCCAAGCACUUAUAGAUCAAUUAAAGCCUGGUGGAAGGUUAAUAUUACCUGUUGGACCCGCUGGAGGAAACCAGAUGCUGGAACAGUACGAUAAGCUAGAAGAUGGCAGUGUCAAAAUGAAGCCUCUGAUGGGAGUGAUAUAUGUGCCUUUAACAGAUAAGGAGAAGCAGUGGUCCAGGUGGAAGUGAUUUUCUGUUCAACUUUCUUCUUCCACACACUUACACAUACAAGAAUUUAGAAACAUCAGAGCAACUGGAAGAAGAUUCAGUUUACAAAAAUGUCAGCUAGCACUCCCGAGAUACAAGCUAACAGCUAGUGCAGUGAAGAAAAUGCAGAGUGAGUAAGCUGGGAUGAAAUGUAAAAGCUACGUCAUCUGACCCAAACAUAGUGUUAACAGUGGACUGCUCAUCUCCAAUUCUUAAAAGCUUUUCAAAACCAACAGCAUUGCAGCUUGUUUUGGACUUUGUUACACUGUUAUCAGCAUGGAAAAGUGUGGUGUUUUUUAUUUUGUAGAAGUUAAUGCAAGUUUGAUAAUGAACUGAUGGAAAGUUUAAAUCUGGGCAAAUGUUUCUUUUCAACAUGCCCUUAUUUUCACCUGUUUAAAGAAGUGAAAUAUGUCUGCAGAAAGCCAGACAGACCUGCAAUUUGUUAUCUUCUUUAUUUUGGAUUGGGAAACGUUCUGAACACUUCUUUCAGCUCCAGUGUUCGUCCAUCAAACCGCUUAUCUGCACUUUCUGACACUACAUGCACACUAUAUGGUUCCUGUGUUCAGCUGUCUUCUAGAUGCUACUAAAAUGAGAUGAAGUUCUUCAAAGCUUUCAGCGUGGUGUCAUAGACUAGCAUGUAGUAUAUACAAUCAGCUGCUUUCUUCCCUUUAAAAAUCAGAUAUUGUGUAUAUAAACUUCAAGACAUCAGAAGUGACAGCUCUUGUUGAAUACACUGCUGUUCAAGAUGGACAUAACUGACAUAGUUUUCUCCCUUUUACUUGUAGAAUAACUUAGAGGUUUAUAGUAGAGUAUUGUUUGCAAAUUUGAUGUACCUGAAUUUAAAACUAUAACAAAUACUGUGUAAGCUAUGUCCUAAUCAUUGAACAGUUUAUGCAAUGCUGCUUUGCCAAAUAAAAUUCAAAACAAAAAGGGUUU